GGAUAUCUGUCUUCCCCUGCUUGAGUCUAUCCUUGAUAUGUUCAUCCUAACCGAUGAUGGAUAUUCUCAUCCUUGGUAUUCUACCUAGUAAAAAGGUAGUUGUAAUCCCUAUUUUGUUCCCAAGAGGGCUAAUCCUUGAUAUGUUCAUCCUAACCGAUGAUGGUUUUCCUUCUCUUUGCGGUCUUCUACCCAGUAACCGGUUGUU
rnacentral:lncRNA from 1 species